AGGCGGAUCCUUGGGGUUAAGUCGUAACAAGGUAUCCCUACCGGAAGGUGGGGAUGGAUCACCUCCUUUCUAAGGAAACCAAUAAAAUCAAUCAUCUUCAGUUUUGAAAGACUUAGGCAACUAAGUUUUUCUUCGUGACUUCACGAAGGGCCUAUAGCUCAGUUGGUUAGAGCACACGCCUGAUAAGCGUGAGGUCGGUGGUUCAAGUCCAUUUAGGCCCACCAGAGUUAUAGGUUUCGUAAGAACACAAAUUCUUUGAAAAUUAGGUAAAUAAUAGUUAUUUAUCCGGAACAUUAAAGGAAAUAAGAGCGCACAGUGGAUGCCUAGGCACCAAGAGCCGAUGGGGACGAAUUCGCCU
rnacentral:sRNA from 1 species